rnacentral:rRNA from 1 species
ACGCUCGACACCUACGGGGGCAGCAGUGGGGAAUAUUGCACAAUGGGGGAAACCCUGAUGCAGCGACGCCGCGUGAGUGAAGAAGUAUUUCGGUAUGUAAAGCUCUAUCAGCAGGGAAGAAAAUGACGGUACCUGACUAAGAAGCCCCGGCUAACUACGUGCCAGCAGCCGCGGUAAUCUGAGGCGGGCUGGCAAGGC